rnacentral:rRNA from 1 species
UACGUAGGGCGCAAGCGUUGUCCGGAAUCAUUGGGCGUAAAGAGCUCGUAGGCGGCCUGUCGCGUCCGCUGUGAAAUCCCGGGGCUUAACCCCGGGCGUGCAGUGGAUACGGGCUGGCUGGAGGCAGGCAGGGGGGAACGGAAUUCCCGGUGUAGCGGUGAAAUGCGCAGAUAUCAGGAGGAACACCGGUGGCGAAGGCGGGUCUCUGGGCCGAUGCUGACGCUGAGGAGCGAAAGCGUGGGGAGCGAACAGG